UGGUGUAUAGCCAAAAAGGCAAGGCAUUGGUUUUUGAUACCAUCACUUAAAGGUUCGAAUCCUUUUACACCAG
rnacentral:tRNA from 1 species